rnacentral:lncRNA from 10 species
ACAAAGGCAUGAUGGGAAGAAAUCCACUCCCAGUGGUCCUCUGAGACCCUCUGAGGCAGAAGUUGGAGGACCACUUGCUUGGUUCCUGCCUGGGGUGGGAGAUGAGUCCAGAGCACAUUGUAGGCAAAGUGGCAGCCUCAACCUGACACCACGGGGCCCCCACAGUAGGGGGCAUUCCUCCUCAUCACAGUGAAUUUUGACUCCUGUGGCCGCUGCCCUCUGCUUGGAUGAGAGGGCAGGUCAGAGAAGCCACAGAGCCCUGUGAGUGGUAUUUCUCGGCACUCCCUUAUAGCCAGAUUCCAGUUUGUCAGGGUAGCUGGGUACAUUCCUGGGUGAUGCCUCCCCUGCCAAUUCCUGGGGCUUACUGCUGCCAGGGGCACCCUGGGAUGUCAAGCUCCAGUGGGCAGAGGAUCCUGGUUCUGAAUGUGAUAAGGAGGAUGAGGAGGAGGAGAAUGAAGGUGCCAGGUAAUGCACCAAGAGCUUUUAUGUGUAGUGCCCUGCGUCAGCCCUCCCAGUACCCCUGAGAAGAGAGAUUGUUAUCAUCUUGUGUGGCAGAGGAAGACAGUGAGGGUCAGAGAGGUUAAGUAACUUGUCCAAUGUCACACAGUUGGUAAGUGGUGGAGCCAGGAUUCAUACCCAGGCAGCCUGCCCCAGUCAUGUUCUUAACGAGGAUGCACAAUGGCCUCUCACCUGCCGCCUCCCACUUCGUGCCCUUGGCUGCCCCUUUUCUUUCUGGGACUCACUCUCAGUCCCCCUGGCCUCAGAGGGAUGCAGUGUGAAUGCCUGGUGGCUACUGAGAGGGGUGCUGUGGGGGCCCUAAUGGGGCCUCCUCAGAGUGUUCUGGGGCAGAGCAACCAUGAAGCCUUGCUUUGAUCACACCGCUCUCCCUGGGCCCCUGGGCCCAGCGUCUAGUCUGUGGGUUGUCAGAGCUGUCUUCCACAGCCCAAUCUGAAGUGGCAGGGAUGUGGGGGAGGUGGUGGCCCUGGGGAGGCCAUCCUGGCAGCACACCUGUGAUGGACCUGGAGGGCUUCAGGGAGCCACGGCCUUCCAAGUUUCAGGUGGACUGAAACAGGACAUGCAGAGGUUGCUCACACACUGAUCGUUCAGAACCCCUUGGAUCCACCCCCUGGAGAAGAGGUACCUGGAUGGUCAGGCCCACCUGCUUCUAGGCACUCCACAGAUAGGAGACUUUCCUCCUUUGUUUUAGAAACUGGGGGAGUCAGGGAAGCCUUCCCAGAGGCAGUGACUUUUAUGCUGGGUUCUGAAGAGUAAAUAGGAGUUUUCCAGGCAGAAGAGAAAGGAAUAGUUCUCUUUACAGAGGAAACAACAUGUGCAAAGGGACGGAGCAGUGUUGGGGACCGGGGAGAUUAGUGUGGAUGGUGUGCUGGAAAAUGGAGCUGAGAGGUUGGGCAGAUCACGCAGGUCUCAGAUACUCAGCUAGGGUGUUUAGAAUGUAACCCAUAGAUAAAUACAAGUUUUUAAGCAGGGGGAUGACAUGGUUGGAAAAGUGACCCUAGCACCUCUACCGGAGGUUGGACUAAGAUGCCACAGAAAGAACACAGGGCAUACCCUGGGUGGUUCCCAUGGGCCAGAAGACACAGUGCCUCAAGAUCCCAUUUUAUCUUUUGGAAAAUACUGUGUGUGUGGCUUUGUGUGUGCCCUUGUUCUGCAGAAGACCUGAUUUUCCUCAGAAGUGUGCAUCCCAAUUCUGUUAUGGAAAUCAAUGAGAAAACACCAUGUGUUUCAACAUUUUUGUUUGAGAGCCAGCCUUGCUGAAACACAUCCGAUCUAUAUAGGGACGGUCUGUCUUCCUGUCUCCUUUUUCUGGAGAUGAGAACUAAUUGACUAAAGAAUUAAAAGCAUACAUCAGGGUCAAGUGUAUGUGUGGCUCCUUUGCUCUCAAAAAAUAAAAAACAAUGAAGAAUUAAAAGUUAGGACUAGGGGUCCCUUAAGUGAUUCUUUAAAAGCCACAGCAUAUGCUGGGCGCGGUGGCUCAUGUCUGUAAUCCCAGCACUUUGGGAGGCUGAGGCGGGUGGAUCACCUGAGGUCGGGAGUUCGAGACCAGCCUGACCAACAUGGAGAAACC